GACGAACGCUGGCGGCGUGCUUAACACAUGCAAGUCGAACGGAAAGGCCCUGCUUUUGUGGGGUGCUCGAGUGGCGAACGGGUGAGUAACACGUGAGUAACCUGCCCUUGACUUUGGGAUAACUUCAGGAAACUGGGGCUAAUACCGGAUAGGAGCUCCUGCUGCAUGGUGGGGGUUGGAAAGUUUCGGCGGUUGGGGAUGGACUCGCGGCUUAUCAGCUUGUUGGUGGGGUAGUGGCUUACCAAGGCUUUGACGGGUAGCCGGCCUGAGAGGGUGACCGGCCACAGUGGGACUGAGAUACGGCCCAGACGCCUACGGGAGGCAGCAGUGGGGAAUAGUGCACAAUGGGCGGAAGCCUGAUGCAGCAACGCCGCGUGCGGGAUGACGGCCGUAGGGUUGUAAACCGCUUUCGCCUGUGACGAAGCGUGAGUGACGGUAAUGGGUAAAGAAGCACCGGCUAACUACGUG
rnacentral:rRNA from 1 species